rnacentral:rRNA from 1 species
GAUGAACGCUAGCGGGAGGCUUAACACAUGCAAGUCGAGGGGUAAAUGGUAGCAAUACUAUGAGACCGGCGGACGGGUGCGUAACGCGUAUGCAACAUACCUUGUGCAGGGGGAUAGCCCGUGGAAACGCGAUUAAUAUUCCAUAGUACCAGCUUAUAGUCGCAUGGUAUAGUUGGUAAAGAUUUUACCGGCACUAAGUUUGGACAUGCGUUCGAUUAGCCUUGGUUAGGUACGGGUAACGGCCUAACCGAAGGCCUUAAGGAUCAGUAGGGGUUUCGAGAGGUACUUAAACCCCCCAACGUGGUAACUGAACGACACGGGAACCCAGGACCUUCCCUAACGGGGGAGCAGGACAGUUGAGGGAAUUAAUUGGG